AAAUUUCCCUCGCAGUUCCUUUCAAGAAAUCAAACCUCGGUUCCAACUUCCAAAUUCUACCGCAUAAAUUACCAUCGAUGGCGUCAGAUCCAACUGUAGCCAUACAACCCUACAAGCUCAAUCAAACCCUAACAGGCCACAAGCGAUCCAUCUCCAGCGUCAAAUUCUCCAACGACGGCAACCUCUUGGGCAGCUCAUCAGCCGACAAAACCAUACGCCUCUGCUCGCCGACCGAUGGUUCUCUCCUUCAAGAGUUCGAAGGCCACGAACAGGGCAUCUCUGACUUUGCAUUCUCUUCUGAUUCCCGUUAUAUCUGCUCUGGCUCAGAUGACAAGACGGUACGGAUAUGGGACGUCCAGACCGGUUCAAUCGUCAAGACACUUCGUGGACACACAAAUUAUGUCUUAUGUGUUAACUACAAUCCUCAGUCGAAUAUGAUCGUGUCCGGUUCGUACGAUGAGACGGUUAGGGUUUGGGAUGUGAAGACCGGGAAAUGCUUGAAGGUCCUUCCAGCCCACUCGGAUCCAGUGACAGCGGUGAACUUUAACCGAGAUGGGUCGUUAAUCGUUUCGAGCAGCUAUGAUGGGUUGUGCAGGAUUUGGGAUGCGUCGACGGGCCACUGCAUGAAGACUCUCAUUGACGAUGAAAAUCCGCCGGUUUCUUUUGUCAAGUUUUCGCCUAAUGGAAAGUUUAUUCUCGCCGGCACAUUGGACAAUACAUUGAGACUAUGGAACUUCUCGACUGGGAAAUGUCUGAAGACAUACACUGGCCAUGUUAAUUCAAAAUACUGCGUUUCAUCCACAUUUUCUGUAACCAAUGGAAAGUAUAUAGUCAGUGGUUCGGAGGAUAACAAGGUCUACUUGUGGGAACUUCAGACAAGAAAAAUUGUCCAGACACUGGAAGGCCACACGGACACUGUUGUAUCUGUUACAUGUCACCCUUCUGAGAACAUGAUAGCAUCUGGUGCAUUUGAAAAGGACAAGACAGUGAAGAUCUGGACUCAGGAGAAAGAAUGAUUCAUUUUUCUGGUAACAGUGUUGCUUUAAUAUAUCAGUUAUUACUAAUGUUAUUUUGUACAUGUACUUUUAUAUCAUGUAGGCAUGGAACUUGUUGUAGGACCAAUAUAGAACAUUUGAACAUAAAGAUGAUAAUAUUGAUUAGAAAAAAUGAUGAUAUCUGUACUUU